GUGUGCGAGCACACCAGAGCCUUCCACCAGCUGGGUGCCCUGCCUGUCCGGACCACGGCAGGGGUGAUGUUGCCUGCCUCUCCGGACUGCUACAGUUGGUCAGGCUGCUGUCUUGUCUUCCUUUAGUUUUGUUUGAUGUUUGAUUUACUAUUUUGUCUGUUACUUUUGGUUUGAUUGUCUUUGUCCAUUGUCUUUCUUUUGUGAGCAGGCAGAGUGUUAAUGGGGGGGGGGGCCUAGUCACCUGCUGGGGAACUAGAGUGUGUGUACUGAGAGUUGCUUGCUGUGGAGAGUUGCACUACUUAACACUUUCAUACUGGAGAAUUGCUGUGUUUGAUAUAAACUGGUCACCGUUGAUAUUAGCCUGCCCCCUCAGGCCAGCUCUGUCUGUCUCUGUUGAAUGUCUGUCUUUUGUGUUCAAUAAAUUGUUUAUUUAAGGAA